CAGUAGCCACGGGAACACGGAGGGUGCAAGCGUUAAUCGGAAUUACUGGGCGUAAAGCGCACGCAGGCGGUUUGUUAAGUCAGAUGUGAAAUCCCCGAGCUUAACUUGGGAACUGCAUUUGAAACUGGCAAGCUAGAGUCUUGUAGAGGGGGGUAGAAUUCCAGGUGUAGCGGUGAAAUGCGUAGAGAUCUGGAGGAAUACCGGUGGCGAAGGCGGCCCCCUGGACAAAGACUGACGCUCAGGUGCGAAAGCGUGGGGAGCAAACAGGAUUAGAUACCCCUGUAGUCCCUGUCUCUUAUAC
rnacentral:rRNA from 1 species